UGAGGAAUAUUGGUCAAUGGGCGGAAGCCUGAACCAGCCAUGCCGCGUGCAGGAAGACGGCCCUACGGGUUGUAAACUGCUUUUCUGCGGGAAGAACGGCCCCUACGCGUAGGGGUGUGACGGUACCGCAGGAAUAAGGAUCGGCUAACUCCGUGCCAGCAGCCGCGGUAAUACGGAGGAUCCGAGCGUUAUCCGGAUUUACUGGGUUUAAAGGGUGCGUAGGCGGCUCCCUCAGUCAGCGGUGAAAUGUGUCGGCUCAACCGACAACCUGCCGUUGAUACUGGGGGGCUUGAGUUGGGUUGAGGCAGGCGGAAUGUGCGGUGUAGCGGUGAAAUGCUUAGAUAUCGCACAGAACGCCGAUUGCGUAGGCAGCUUGCCAAGCCCACACUGACGCUGAGGCACGAAAGCGUGGGGAUCAAACAGG
rnacentral:rRNA from 1 species